AGCUAAAACCUGAAUAUAAAACAUAAACUAAAUCAUAUACAAGAAAGGUAUAAAACUUACAAAUUAUUAACUUAUGAGGAACACCAAUUUAAAGGUGUAGUGCAUUAUAUUAAUCUUAUUCGGCAACUAAAUAAUACAAAAAUUAUGAAUUUUAAUAAUUUUUGGUUUAAAUAAAGUGUGAGAUUUAACCAGGCUAAUCAAUACAAAAAAAAAUACAAAAAAAGUAUAUUAUUUAUAGAUAAAGUUAAGUUAAUAAUAUAGUGAUUUAUCAAACAGAUUUAAUAUUUAACUAAAAUACAUUUUUUUUUUAAUUUUUAAUGAAAGUCAGAAAGUAGCCAACUCGACAACACUAAAACACAAGCAGCGAAAAGAGUGGAAGCGAUAAUGAGAAGACAAAACGAUAAUAAGGAACAGAAAAUGCUGAUAGAUUGGCUAUUUUAAAGUCAAAACUUAAUGUUUUUAAAAGAAAAUAAUAAAUAAGGCCUUUUAAAUACUAAGUAAAAAAACUAUCAGUUAAAAGUAAUACGACAAUAAAAUGACAAAUAAUACAAAUUACUGAAAGUAAAGUACCUUUUUAAUUACUGUAUUUUAACAUUGUUUUUUUUUUUAGCCAACCAAUUACUUGAACAUUAGUUAAACGGAUACUAGGCGUAUACGCAAUAUAAGCAUUCUAUUAGUGAAGUAAAUACAUAUGUAUGUAUUUAAAAACUAAAACGUAGUGAAGUAACCAGUUAUAUUAGCAACGGUUGUAUUAAAGUAAAUACUGUUAUUAACUAGUGAAAACAAUAUCACUGGUUGUCUUGUGACUUCUGUAAGCUACUUUACAAAUUUGUAUGACCCAUAGAUGUCAAUUUUCGACAGUUAACGAGAGCUAACCGCAAAAAGCUAUAUUAAAUAGUUGAUUUAGCUACUUUUCGCAAAUAAUUAUGGUCAACACUGGAAAAAGCCCUUUUAUUUUCUUCUCUUUGUUUCUUUUGUUUUGUAUUUCUCUAUUUCUUCGCUCACCUGUAAAGACAAUCCCACUUUGCCUAAGCAAUCGAUUGAUUCCGAUUCUCACUGCUAUUUUCUGAUGUGUGGGAAUCUCUGUUGAGUCGUAAUUAGCAAACUUACAGCCAUCGAACUACGAUCACCUGGCUCUUUUUAAACUGCAAAUUAUCCGAAUAGACAAAGUCUGAAAGGGCCGCUGCUGAAAGUUCAAAAUGGGUGUUUAACCAUCACUCCAGCAGGUGAUUAAAAACCUUAAAAAAAUCAAACCGAACUUCCAAUGUUUUAAGAAUUCUAUGGAUAUUUUUUUAGCCUUUACAUACAUACAUAUGUGGAAAUUAGUGGCAGGCCUGUUACUACAAAAUAAAUAUGCAAUUUUGUUUCGAUCAGAAGAGGUUCUAAUUAAUCUGUAUUUCACUAGACAAAAAUAUAGAACAGCUUAUUUUUACA